GCCAAGUUCCGGCGAGUGUUCGGGGACACCCUGAACGAGAGUCGGGACCCCGACCGGCCUCCGGAGCGCUACACCUCGCGCUAUUACCUCAAGUUCAACUUCCUGGAGCAGGCCUUCGACAAGCUGUCCGAGGCGGGCUUCCACAUGGUGGCGUGCAGUUCCACCGGCACCUGCACUUUCGCCAGCAGCACCGACCAGAGCGAGGACAAGAUCUGGACCAGCUACACCGAGUACGUCUUCUGCAGGGAGUGAGCUCCCCACACCCCUCGCGACUCCAACGCACCCAUUCCCUCUCCUUCCUGGCCGGUAGAGGAUUCUAGAUUUUUCCUUCCCACCCCGUGUUCUCCCAUCCCCCAUUCCCACCUCCAGUAGCCGGGCCAGACCCACGAUGCUCCCACCCCAAACGCGCGCGCGCGCGCGCGCGCACACACACACACACACACACACACACACACACACACACACACACACAAACACUUUAAGAACCUGCAGCCGCAGAUCCUUUGGGCUUCUUCUCUGGACCCCAUUAACCGAGAGAGCCCAGACGUUCCCCUCCACCCCAAGCUUCCUCUGCUCCCUGCCUCAAACCACCCCUCCCCCAGAUUGUCCUUGAGUCUGGAUCUAGUGGGGCAGUGUGGCCACAGAGUCACCGAGAACCUAGGAAUGACUGAAUCGUUCCGAACCUGAUUGGACCCUGUCCAGUGUGUAGAAGAUUCCUUGAAAUCUUCUGAAGCCCUGAUGACUCAUUCGCGGUUUAGGAGAUCAGAAUCGAUAGCACUGACUGAGAAUAGUUAGUUUUAAAAGGUCAUUCAUUACACAGUCUUUUGACCCUCUUUAAAGGUAGGGUUUUAGAAGUGUAGAUGGAAAACUCUGGAGCCGGAAUUAGAAUCCCGCGGAGGCAGCUGAGUGACUAUAAAUGAAUAAAGUUCUGAAAAGUUACAGGUAGAGAUAGGAGAAAAUCUAGUGUUGGCGCAGUGAAGGAGCGUAUGGUUUCCGUGCAGAUUUAAAGGUCUUCGCCUGUGGAUUAAACUUGUCGAAAGUUCCCCUCCUGCCUGAGGAGGCACCCUUUCUCCUGGGCUCACCGCCAGAAACCCUCGGUUCGACUGGUUGACAUGGCAGCCAUUGUUGGCAAGAGGGGAGAGAAAGCUGCCGAGGACAAGGGCAAGACAGCCCAGGUCACCAAGUACUGCGGGAGGUUACCUGGCUGUGACUGUAAAUGCAGCUGGGUAGUAAUGCACGUCGUGGGUAUUCGGAAAUCCCACUUUUUUGCAGUGAAUGGCANNNNNNNNNNNNNNNNNNNNNNNNNNNNNNNNNNNNNNNNNNNNNNNNNNNNNNNNNNNNNNNNNNNNNNNNGAGGGUAGGAGGGGGUGGGAAGGGAGGAGCAGACAUACUCAUUGAUUAUUUGAAAGUUGGAAGUUUGUGCCAUCCAUUUGAGUUCAUGCACAUUAACAAAAUAGCACACGAAAACAUGCAAAGCAUUUUAUAAAGAUUAAUUACAGAUCUACUCUUACCUGGCAGUUUAUUGAACUAACUGUUUUGAGUCCUAAUCUUAAAGUUGCUGAUGCUUAUGUAACCUAACCAAAGAGUAACCCAGUAGGGUUUUAGUUUUUGAACUUUAUUUUCGUGUUGAUUAUAAGCCUUGAUUUUAAAGUCCAUUUCCUUGAGCAAAAUAUGUUUGAUUUGGAUGACUUAAACUUAAAUUCUCUCAUUAAAAAUCCUUCUUUUCUCGAAGCCCAGUCAAUGUUGACUUCUGGGCAAGCCUGAAAAUGCCACUUUCCUGCAGGUGGUUUGACAUUAAGGUGGAAUCUUUUCAAGUGACAGAGCUGCGGAGAAAUAGAUGUGCCAAAGGCUGCCAUCUGUAGAUAGCUGUAAAGUGGAAUAUUUUUAAGUGAAGGCAAAUAAGUACUUAAAAGUGAGCUGAGCAAUAAAAUGGUGUUCCAGGUAAAUGCAACAGAAACAGAAGGAGACCUGGUUGCCUUAUACCUUUACUCUAACUUGGAAUAAAUCCCCACUGUAUAUCAUAUCUACACCGUAAAUGAAGGGAAAUGAAUCCUUGUCUUUCAAACUGUGAGGAUCCUUUGAAUAUUCUGUGAUGAUGGAGAAGACUUUCCUUUUUCAUUUGUUUUAGCAUCUUUCUCUGAAGUAUGUUUUUAAAAGAUUUUUGUAAGGGUCGUUUUUCAGUGUUUAAAUUAGUGCUAUUUUUUUCUUUUUAAAAAUGAAUCUUGUACUGUAUCUUACUAUGUCUAUAACAGAUGUUAAGAAUUGGAACAGUUUUAUUCUUAGACUCAUGUGAUCCAAUCUGUAUAUACCAUAUAUAAACAUUUUACACGAAUCAUUUAGUUUUUUAAUUCAUUUACUAAUGCUGUAAACUUCCCUAUAUUUACCCCCAGUAACUUGCAUCAGAUGGUGUAUAUGCUAAAGCAACAUGUUUUAAUGAGUUUCUUAUAUCCUUGUCUAUGGGGAAAUUGGGUUAGGGAAAAAACAAAAACAACAUAAUUAUAAAGCUGAAUUUGCUCCAUACUUUUUUGCUUGGAUAUUUGUUGUAUGCUAACAUGUUGAUUAAACUGUCCACUUAAAUCAAGGUACCUGUAUUUUUAAUCCACUAUUUCUUUUUUUUUUUUUCCUAAUUGGGAAAGAGAAGGAUUUGAGGUCUUUCAUUGGAGUUACAUUUUUAGAAAAGUAACAUUAGCUUUAUACACAAAGGCUGUAAUUGUAAGGGAGGCGGAAGCAGAAAUUCAGGAAGUUGUUAUUUGCUUAUGUGCAUCAUAUUAGGUAAUGCAUCAGACUUCACUUUGGUUUGAGGCCUGAAAUGCUUUAGGAAUGUCGCUCACCAGCCAAAAGUGAGUGGCACAGAAAUGUCUCCACCCCAUGUAGUGUUCUGUUAGAUGGUGCAACACAAAGCGCAUAAUUGAGAACAUCUCGGGACAGAUCAAAAGCACUGACAGACAUAUGGCAAGACUGAGAUUCUGAUUUUCUUUGUUACAUCUGCUCAACUCCGGGAGUCAUUGGAAACUGCUUAAGUUUUGUCUCUGCCACUGAAGUCUUAGAAGUUUUAUCUUGUAAAACUAUUCCACUGCUUUAUGCACACAUCUCGCUCCCCCCACAUCAUUGCUGCCCUGCAGUGCACCUCUGCCCCUUUUAUUGUCCGAAGACCAGGAAUUGAAUGGUUAGAUAUAGUAAAGCAGCCUCUCUUUCUGUGAUGACCAUCUCCUCUAAAGUUGAAAGCUGAUACAUGAAAACAUUCUACUUUCAGCCCAAAGUAAAGGCCGGGUAGGAAACUCAUUUUUACAUUGGGUAGAUGGUACAGUUGAGGAAAGAUGACUUGGCCUGGACACUUUGGGGUCCCUUCUCCACCAGGUGCUUUAGGCCACAGAAGGACCCUUAGUGGUCUGCCAAGUGGGCUGGAGUAUUGGUUGUCAUCUGUGAGCUUGGAUGAGCUCUUGAGGGUCCAUUUGAGUAAGCCCUCCACAAAUAUUCAGUAACCUGGGAGGGUGUCAUAAAUUAUUCAGAAAUUAUGACUGUAUUAAUCUGACUCAGAGUAGCAUACAUUUACAUAUAUAAUGGCUCUCAUUACCAUUUGGUUCAUAAAUACUACUGAGUGACAUUAGAUUUUAAUAACAAAUUUAGCUUUUUAAAAAGAAUUGUUGACAGUGGUGGUUAAAAAAACAGGUACCAUAUUCAAUGCUUUUGCACCAAGUGUUUGACAGGUUGUCUAUUUUUUAAUACACAUCGGCUAUGAACCACAUUUGUUCUAAUAUUUCAAAUUAUAUAUUGUGGAAAAUAUUUCUUGAAUGUGUGAGGCUUAAAUUUUUUCCUCUUUCAAUAUGAUUUUUAUUCUUGUGUCUUAUUUGGUUUUUGCAUUGAUAGCAAAGUGAUAAUUUAUAAUACUAGCCAAAAUUGACUUCUCUUUCAAACCAGAUCCAUGUAUACAUGGGGCUUGUUGCUUCUCUGGGUAAAUGCUUUAUCUGUGAAUUUUCAGACAAAAUGGGCAACUGGCAAUGCUCAUAACAUAUUCCAAUUUUUAUUGGAAUUUUCCAUGGAAUGUUAUUAUUACAUUAAAGCUAUGUAAGGUGAAGCUUUGAUAAUUUUUUACUUUUAAAAUUAUGAUAAAUUCUAAUCUAAUAUUAAAAAAAAUUUUUGUACUCCACAUGAAAAAUGCUAAAUUAUAGUGCAGGCAUUUAGGAAAGUAUUGAGGGAUUGAAUUCCUUAAGAAUUUCUUUUCUAGUUCUGAGUCAUAAAUACUCAAUUGACUUAAAUUUCUAAAAUUGUAAACUGAGUCUUUUUAUUGUAAAUCUACCAUAGUAAAGCCUUUGGAAUUUUUUUUCUGCUUUUUCCUUGUUACAACUCAUUUAAAAACCGAAUUAGUUUUCUUAGGUGACAUAAACCUGUCUCUUGAGAAAUAAAUAAAACACUCUUGUGUUUCCAGUGGCUGUGGGACCUGAAAUGUGUUUCCUAGAGACGGAAACACAUUCUGUUGAAGUUAACUUUUCUUUGUCACAAUUUUGGAUAAUAAACAUCUAAAAGUAUUAAUGUUUAAAGACUUAUAUUCUCUACUGGGGCCCUUAAAAUUUAGAUGGAAGAAAUCCAACCAGAAUAUUUAUAUUAGAGUAUAAUCUCAUCUGGUAGGAUGAACUAGCUGACCAUGGAUACGUUUUUGUGAUUUUUUUCCCCCCAAGUUGUCUUUUCUAACUUUAAAUGUGUUCUGAGAUAUGCGAACAUUAAUUGUAAUGUCAACUAUUAUACAACUGUCUUUGCAACUUUAUAGGCAGGUGAAUUUUGCUGUUACUAAUGGCCAUUCAUUUAUAAUCUCUGAAAUAGCAUUUGUGGCAUUUAAUGACAAAAGUUAAAAUGUCCAUUAUGGAUGUUAAUUCUGAAGAGCCAAAUUACAUGUUAUUUAAAUUUUUCUGGGCAUCUGAAAAACUCAUCUGCUAAACAACGUAAGUUUCCUCAGCGUCAUCUAGGAUUAUGAAAUUGUUGCAGAUGUUAUCAAAAUUGAAGGAGAAAGGGGAAAAAAAAUCAUUACACAAUGAUCAGACUUUUCUAAUGAAACAGCCAAGAAAAUAAAAUCCUUCCAUAUUUCAAAAACUGAUGAAGUCUUUUCAGACAUAUCUGAACUUUGAGAAUUUCCUCAAUCAUCUAAAUGCCCUAGAGAUUUUGGUUCUCUCUGUUCACAACCAGUUGUAUAACAAAUGCUCAGUAGUGUUUUCCUCCCUGUGUGUGAAGUAAUGAAUCAUUGGUUAUGUGACUUGUUAUGUAUUCUAUUAAACACU
ensembl:lncRNA